rnacentral:rRNA from 1 species
UACGGGAGGCAGCAGUGGGGAAUAUUGCACAAUGGGCGAAAGCCUGAUGCAGCUAUGCCGCGUGUAUGAAGAAGGCCUUAGGGUUGUAAAGUACUUUCAUCGGGGAGGAAAAAACAAAACUAAUAAUUUUAUUUCUUGACGUUACCCGAAAAAGAAGCACCGGCUAACUCCGUGCCAGCAGCCGCGGUAAUACGGAGGGUGCUAGCGUUAAUCAGAAUUACUGGGCGUAAAGAGCACGUAGGUGGUUUUUUAAGUCAGAUGUGAAAUCCCUGGGCUUAACCUAGGAACUGCAUUUUGAAACUGAAAUACUAGAGUAUCGUAGAGGGAGGUAGAAUUCUAGGUGUAGUGGUGAAAUGCGUAGAUAUCUGGAGGAAUACCUGUGGCGAAAGCGGCCUCCUAAACGAAUACUGACACUGAGGUGCGAAAGCGUUGGGGAGCAAACGAGGGAUUAGAUACC